rnacentral:rRNA from 1 species
GUGAGUAAUGCCUAGGAAAUUGCCCUGAUGUGGGGGAUAACCAUUGGAAACGAUGGCUAAUACCGCAUGAUGCCUACGGGCCAAAGAGGGGGACCUUCGGGCCUCUCGCGUCAGGAUAUGCCUAGGUGGGAUUAGCUAGUUGGUGAGGUAAGGGCUCACCAAGGCGACGAUCCCUAGCUGGUCUGAGAGGAUGAUCAGCCACACUGGAACUGAGACACGGUCCAGACUCCUACGGGAGGCAGCAGUGGGGAAUAUUGCACAAUGGGCGCAAGCCUGAUGCAGCCAUGCCGCGUGUGUGAAGAAGGCCUUCGGGUUGUAAAGCACUUUCAGUCGUGAGGAAGGUAGUGUAGUUAAUAGCUGCAUUAUUUGACGUUAGCGACAGAAGAAGCACCGGCUAACUCCGUGCCAGCAGCCGCGGUAAUACGGAGGGUGCGAGCGUUAAUCGGAAUUACUGGGCGUAAAGCGCAUGCAGGUGGUUUGUUAAGUCAGAUGUGAAAGCCCGGGGCUCAACCUCGGAAUUGCAUUUGAAACUGGCAGACUAGAGUACUGUAGAGGGGGGUAGAAUUUCAGGUGUAGCGGUGAAAUGCGUAGAGAUCUGAAGGAAUACCGGUGGCGAAGGCGGCCCCCUGGACAGAUACUGACACUCAGAUGCGAAAGCGUGGGGAGCAAACAGGAUUAGAUAC